AAUCAACGCUGGCGGCGUGCCUCAGACAUGCAAGUCGAACGCGAAAUUUCCCUUCGGGGAGAAAGUAGAGUGGCGCACGGGUGAGUAACACGUGGGUAAUUUACCUUCGGGUGGGAAGUAACAGUCGGAAACGACUGCUAAUACCGCAUGAUGCAGCGGCACCACAUGGUGACAGUUGUUAAAGCGGGGGAUCGCAAGACCUCGCGCCUGAAGAGAAGCCCGCGGCAGAUUAGCUAGUUGGUAAGGUAAUGGCUUACCAAGGCGACGAUCUGUAGCCGGCCUGAGAGGGCGGUCGGCCACACUGACACUGAAUAACGGGUCAGACUCCUACGGGAGGCAGCAGUCGGGAAUUUUGGGCAAUGGGCGAAAGCCUGACCCAGCAACGCCGC
rnacentral:rRNA from 1 species